rnacentral:rRNA from 1 species
UACCUGCAGCUCAAGUGGUGGCCGCUAUUAUUGGGCCUAAAACGUUCGUAGCCGGUUUGGUAAAUGCCUGGGUAAAUCGUAUAGCUUAACUAUACGAAUUCCGGGUAGACUGCUAAACUUGAGACCGGGAGAAGCUAGAGGUACUCCUGGGGUAGAGGUGAAAUUCUGUAAUCCUGGGGGGACCACCAGUGGCGAAGGCGUCUAUCUAGAACGGGUUUGACGGUGAGGAACGAAGCCCUGGGGCGCAAACCGGAUUAGAUACCCGGGUAGUCCAGGGUGUAAACGCUGCUUGCUUGAUGUUAGUUGGGCUCCGAGCCCAAUUAGUGUCGGAGAGAAGUUGUUAAGCAAGCUGCCUAGGGAAGUACGAUCGCAAGAUUAGAAACUUAAAGGAAUUGGGCGGGGGAGCACAGCAACGGGUGGAGCGUGCGGUUU